AUCUUUUCAGUUGACACUAUUGGUUAAAAGUUUUAUCUCAAACUCUCGCUCUGUUGAAUAAACUAUGAUUUUAUAUUAACGUAGCUGUCACUUAUAGUUAAGUCAAAAACCACUUUUUGAAGACAAUAGAAUCCGUAGAAACUCUUUUUAAGAAAACACCAAUCGUUUAAACACCCUUAUCUCAAACUCUCGCUCUGUUGACUUAGGUUAUAUAAUUAAAUU
rnacentral:lncRNA from 1 species